UACUUAGAGAUAAAGAGGGGGAUAAGAUAGUUGUCUUGUGGGGUGCUUGAUUGUUUAGGUGAUGAGAGGAAGUAUUUUAGUUUGAGAAUUCUAUGUAAGUAGAAGACGUAGUUGGUUUGGUUUUACUAAAGUUGUGCCAGCGGUAGCGGUUAUACAAGUAAGGGGUCUUUGAGAGGUGGUGAGAGGGUUCUUGAGUUUUAUUGGGGGGUGAAAUUUGAAUAUAAAAAGUCGGGAUUCUAGUUGAGUGGGUCAUGUGGAAAGGAUUAGAUACCCUUGUAAUGAUUUAUAGUUAGCACUUGGGGUUAAAUUUGGCAAUCGUGGCGGUAAGGUUGAUGCAGAGGGGCCUGUAUAUAUAGAUAAUGAACUUGGGGAAAGGCUGAUUGGUGUCUUCUUGUGUGAUUGUCCAGGUUGCGUUGUUGCUUGGGGUAAAUAAACAUAGGGGUGGAGGUUGGUUAAGAUUGGGUUUGUGUUUUGUAGAUUUGAGUAGAGUUGGAAAAAGAGAUUUGCUAGUAAGUAUAUUAGGUGAAUGUGGUGGUCUUGAGUACAUAUCGCCCGUCAACACCGAGAGGGUGUAAGUCGUAACAUAGUGAUCUUGCUAGAAAGUGAGAUUU
rnacentral:rRNA from 1 species